UGGGGAAUUGUUCGCAAUGGGCGCAAGCCUGACGACGCAACGCCGCGUGGAGGAUGAAGGUCUUCGGAUUGUAAACUCCUGUUGAUCGGGAAGAAUGUCCCUGAGGCUAAUAUCCUCAGGGAGUGACGGUACCGGUUGAGGAAGCCCCGGCUAACUCUGUGCCAGCAGCCGCGGUAAUACAGAGGGGGCAAGCGUUGUUCGGAAUUACUGGGCGUAAAGGGCGCGUAGGCGGCCAACUAAGUCAGACGUGAAAUCCCCAGGCUCAACCUGGGAACUGCGUCUGAUACUGGAUGGCUUGAGUUCGGGAGAGGGAAGUGGAAUUCCAGGUGUAGCGGUGAAAUGCGUAGAUAUCUGGAGGAACACCGGUGGCGAAGGCGGCUUCCUGGACCGACACUGACGCUGAGGCGCGAAAGCCAGGGGAGCGAAACGGGAUUAGGAUACCCCGGUAGUCCUGGCCCUAAACGAUGAAUGCUUGGUGUGGCGGGUAUCGAUCCCUGCCGUGACCG
rnacentral:rRNA from 1 species